AUUGAACGCUGGCGGCAGGCCUAACACAUGCAAGUCGAGCGGUAGCACAGAGAGCUUGCUCUCGGGUGACGAGCGGCGGACGGGUGAGUAAUGUCUGGGAAACUGCCUGAUGGAGGGGGAUAACUACUGGAAACGGUAGCUAAUACCGCAUAACGUCGCAAGACCAAAGUGGGGGACCUUCGGGCCUCAUGCCAUCAGAUGUGCCCAGAUGGGAUUAGCUAGUAGGUGGGGUAACGGCUCACCUAGGCGACGAUCCCUAGCUGGUCUGAGAGGAUGACCAGCCACACUGGAACUGAGACACGGUCCAGACUCCUACGGGAGGCAGCAGUGGGGAAUAUUGCACAAUGGGCGCAAGCCUGAUGCAGCCAUGCCGCGUGUGUGAAGAAGGCCUUCGGGUUGUAAAGCACUUUCAGCGGGGAGGAAGGCGGUGAGGUUAAUAACCUCAUCGAUUGACGUUACCCGCAGAAGAAGCACCGGCUAACUCCGUGCCAGCAGCCGCGGUAAUACGGAGGGUGCAAGCGUUAAUCGGAAUUACUGGGCGUAAAGCGCACGCAGGCGGUCUGUCAAGUCGGAUGUGAAAUCCCCGGGCUCAACCUGGGAACUGCAUUCGAAACUGGCAGGCUAGAGUCUUGUAGAGGGGGGUAGAAUUCCAGGUGUAGCGGUGAAAUGCGUAGAGAUCUGGAGGAAUACCGGUGGCGAAGGCGGCCCCCUGGACAAAGACUGACGCUCAGGUGCGAAAGCGUGGGGAGCAAACAGGAUUAGAUACCCUGGUAGUCCACGCCGUAAACGAUGUCGAUUUGGAGGUUGUGCCCUUGAGGCGUGGCUUCCGGAGCUAACGCGUUAAAUCGACCGCCUGGGGAGUACGGCCGCAAGGUUAAAACUCAAAUGAAUUGACGGGGGCCCGCACAAGCGGUGGAGCAUGUGGUUUAAUUCGAUGCAACGCGAAGAACCUUACCUGGUCUUGACAUCCACAGAACUUUCCAGAGAUGGAUUGGUGCCUUCGGGAACUGUGAGACAGGUGCUGCAUGGCUGUCGUCAGCUCGUGUUGUGAAAUGUUGGGUUAAGUCCCGCAACGAGCGCAACCCUUAUCCUUUGUUGCCAGCGGUUAGGCCGGGAACUCAAAGGAGACUGCCAGUGAUAAACUGGAGGAAGGUGGGGAUGACGUCAAGUCAUCAUGGCCCUUACGACCAGGGCUACACACGUGCUACAAUGGCAUAUACAAAGAGAAGCGACCUCGCGAGAGCAAGCGGACCUCAUAAAGUAUGUCGUAGUCCGGAUUGGAGUCUGCAACUCGACUCCAUGAAGUCGGAAUCGCUAGUAAUCGUAGAUCAGAAUGCUACGGUGAAUACGUUCCCGGGCCU
rnacentral:rRNA from 1 species